rnacentral:rRNA from 1 species
AUGACCGAGCUGAUGACCAAUCUUAGGGAGGUAAAUACAAAGGGCAUCUCAUGGAGGAAUUUAAGUCAUGCAUGGAAAAGGCUACACAACCUUCACAAGCUCCGAGUGGCCGAAUCCUUAGAUGUUAUCACGGUGGAGACAUGCUCUUUCGUUGAUAUGAUAAAUCUUGAGCUCUUGGACUUAUCGGGUAACAUUCAUAUGAAAUCAUUUCCUGCAGUGUCAUCAUCAGGAAACUUGAAGAUGCUUGUUCUUGAUGGUUGUUCCAGAUUGAAGCAUGUUGCACUCGAGGGAUCCACUCCACAACUCGAGAGUUUUAGCUUUGAUGGUUAUGGCCCAUCAGUGAAAUGGACACAUGAUGUACAACUGCCAAAGACAGAACUGCGUCCCAAGUCCCACAAUGCUUCACUUCCAAAAGCAGAGGUGAGACGGAUCUCCCUAAAGGGUUGCAAUCAUUUGCACAACAUAUUCUUGCAUGCAUUACCCAGUCUUAAGGAGUUGGACCUCUCUGGCACAUCUGCUAAAACACUUGACCUCUGUACAAUGGGUGUCUCACGACUCAAGAAGCUACUCUUGCUGGGUUGUGAGCAACUUCGUAGCCUACUCUGGAAUCAAAGCAACACUUCAUUAGAAGUUCUACAUGUAGACACUUGA